CAAGGUAGCAGCGAUCCACUGAAGCAGAGAGCAGGUAGCUUGAGAAUUGCCCCACCUGUUGCCUGUCUGAACCAAGAACCAGAUCCUAGAGGUCUGUGCCAUACUAGCUGCUUCCAGAUCUACUGGAAUCCUAAUAUUGAAAGACAUCUAACAGGAAAGAUCCUUGAAUUCAAAAUAAGCCAGUUGAUUUUCUAUGGAUUUCAUCUGAGCCACAAGCUUUAGGUCAAUGAGACUUUGAUUUCUUUUUCAAAAUACCAGAUCGAUUUAUG
rnacentral:lncRNA from 12 species